rnacentral:rRNA from 1 species
UACGGAGGGAGCGAACGUUGUUCGGAUUUACUGGGCGUAAAGGGUGUGUAGGCGGUCUUGCAAGUCAGGGGGUGAAAUCUCUCGGCUCAACCGAGAAACUGCCUUUGAGACUGCAGGACUUGAGGGCGUGAGAGGAGACUGGAAUUCCUAGUGUAGCGGUGAAAUGCAUAGAUAUUAGGAGGAACACCAGUGGCGAAGGCGAGUCUCUGGCACGCAUCUGACGCUGAAACACGAAAGCCAGGGGAGCGAACGGG